CCCCGUACACAAAAAUGCACAUGCUGUGAGCUCGAUGAGUAGGGCGGGACACGUGGUAUCCUGUCUGAAUAUGGGGGGACCAUCCUCCAAGGCUAAAUACUCCUGACUGACCGAUAGUGAACCAGUACCGUGAGGGAAAGGCGAAAAGAACCCCGGCGAGGGGAGUGAAAAAGAACCUGAAACCGUGUACGUACAAGCAGUGGGAGCACGCUUAGGCGUGUGACUGCGUACCUUUUGUAUAAUGGGUCAGCGACUUAUAUUCUGUAGCAAGGUUAACCGAAUAGGGGAGCCGAAGGGAAACCGAGUCUUAACUGGGCGUUAAGU
rnacentral:rRNA from 1 species